GCCUACGGGGGGCAGCAGUAGGGAAUAUUGCUCGAUGGGGGAAACCCUGAAGCAGCAACGCCGCGUGGAGGAUGAAGGUUUUCGGAUUGUAAACUCCUUUUGUUAGAGAAGAUAAUGACGGUAUCUAACGAAUAAGCACCGGCUAACUCCGUGCCAGCAGCCGCGGUAAUACGGAGGGUGCAAGCGUUACUCGGAAUCACUGGGCGUAAAGAGCGCGUAGGCGGGAUAGCAAGUCAGAUGUGAAAUCCUAUGGCUUAACCAUAGAACUGCAUUUAAAACUGUUAUUCUAGAGUAUGGGAGAGGUA
rnacentral:rRNA from 1 species